GACGAACGCUGGCGGCGUGCUUAACACAUGCAAGUCGAACGGAAAGGCCCUGCUGGCAGGGUACUAGAGGGGACAGGGGGCGUGUGACACGGGUAUGCUGCGCCCUGCACUUCGGGAUGAGCGGGAAAGUCGGGGUACUAUCGCGGAUAGGUCCUAGCUCCAGUGUGUGGGUUGGAAAGAUUUUGCGGUGUUGGAUGAGCUCGCGGCCUAUCAGCUUGUUGGUGGGGUAAUGGCGUACCAAGGCGGCGACGGGUAGCCGGCCUGAGAGGGUGACCGGCCGCAUUGGGACUGAGAUACGGCCCAGACGCCGACGGGAGGCAGCAGGGGGGAAUAUUGCACAAUGGGCGCAAGCCUGAUGCAGCAACGCCGCGUGGUGGAUGACGGCCUUCGGGUGGUAAACAACUUGCAGCAGGGACGAAGCUUGUUGUGACGGUACCUAAAGAAGAAGCACCGGCUAACUACGUG
rnacentral:rRNA from 1 species